UACGGGGGGGGCAAGCGUUGUUCGGAAUUACUGGGCGUAAAGGGUGCGUAGGCGGUUCGCUAAGUUGGAUGUGAAAACUAUGGGCUCAACCCAUAGCCUGCAUCCAAUACUGACGAACUAGAGUUCUGGAGGGGGUAGCGGAAUUCCUGGUGUAGCGGUGAAAUGCGUAGAUAUCACUUGGAACGCCAAAGGUGAAAACAGUCUGCUGGGGGUGUGCCGACGCUGAGACACGAAAGCCAGGGGAGCGAACGGG
rnacentral:rRNA from 1 species